CGGACGGGUGAGUAACACGUAUCCAACCUGCCGUCUACUCUUGGACAGCCUUCUGAAAGGAAGAUUAAUACAAGAUGGCAUCAUGAGUCCGCAUGUUCACAUGAUUAAAGGUAUUCCGGUAGACGAUGGGGAUGCGUUCCAUUAGAUAGUAGGCGGGGUAACGGCCCACCUAGUCUUCGAUGGAUAGGGGUUCUGAGAGGAAGGUCCCCCACAUUGGAACUGAGACACGGUCCAA
rnacentral:rRNA from 1 species